GACGAACGCUGGCGGCGUGCUUAACACAUGCAAGUCGAACGGAAAGGCCCUGCUUUUGUGGGGUGCUCGAGUGGCGAACGGGUGAGUAACACGUGAGUAACCUGCCCUUGACUUUGGGAUAACUUCAGGAAACUGGGGCUAAUACCGGAUAGGAGCUCCUGCUGCAUGGUGGGGGUUGGAAAGUUUCGGCGGUUGGGGAUGGACUCGCGGCUUAUCAGCUUGUUGGUGGGGUAGUGGCUUACCAAGGCUUUGACGGGUAGCCGGCCCGAGAGGGUGACCGGCCACAUUGGGACUGAGAUACGGCCCAGACUCCUACGGGAGGCAGCAGUGGGGAAUAUUGCACAAUGGGCGGAGGCCUGAUGCAGCAACGCCGCGUGCGGGAUGACGGCCUUCGGGUUGUAAACCGCUUUCGCCUGUGACGAAGCGUGAGUGACGGUAAUGGGUAAAGAAGCACCGGCUAACUACGUG
rnacentral:rRNA from 1 species